AGGGGCAGAUCAAACCAAAGCCCUUCAUUCUUCAUUCAGUAUGGAGGAAAAACUCAUCAACGCAGUGGCUAAUCGUCCAGAACUAUACGAUGCUAGCUGCUACUUCUACCGGGACAGGAAUAAAAAGGACUGAGCUUGGAGGCACAGAAGUGAGGAGAUCGGGCAACCUGAACCAACUGAUUCUGCUGCAGAGCAUCCUCUGUUGCUUCUCCUGCCUCCCCAGUCCCUCCGCUCCUGCUGCUGCACCCACAGGCCCACAGAGGAGGACAGCUCCGAGACAGAUG